rnacentral:lncRNA from 1 species
UAUUUAUUGAUUAAUAAUAUUUUUAAUUCUUUCUGGACAGGGAUCAUUUUUAUUCUUCUUCUGGAUAUUCCAAAGCCCUAAGCAUUCAUAACAGAAGUUUAAUAAAUAUACAUUGAAUUGAAUUUACCUAAUCUCCUAACUCAACAGAAAGAUGGAUGUGCCAGUGGUCAUCAAGCCAUGCAGGUUCUUUCAACUCAGACUAAUAUAAGAAUAAUAUAAGAACUGACUGAAUAAAAUCUCUACAGAAAAUUACUGCA